CUUGGAAACCCUGCUGGUAGGGAUUGAUGUCUUUCAUAUGUGUUGAACAAAGUAAUUUCAAAGGGAUUAGGAAGGAGAUUUCCCUUUCCAUCGUAAGGACGAUGUAUGGUUCCAGCCCCUCCAUGAAAAUGAAAGUUAUUUAUCAUCAUUUUGGCUUAGAAUGCAUUUCCAUUCGGGCCUCUGCCACUUCUAAAGCAGGAUGCCAGGACCACAGGCCCGGCCUCCGCUUGCCUCCAUGGCUGAAGCAAUGCUUCUCCAGCGUUCUGCAGCCGCCCGAACGGAGACUAAGUGACGGACUUCUGUGGCUUUUGAGCCUUUGGAAACAUUCCUUCCAAAUCCUGCUGGAGGAGCAGGGGUUGCUAAAACCACAGAUGGAAACUCGACACAGGGAGAGGCCGGGACUCCAGAAAAACUACUUUGGCCUCCGGUGAUGUGUUACCAUCAUGUGGCCCCACCACUCGACUUUACUGGUGCCAAAGUAAGAAGUCCGGUGAGUGGUCCAGGGUCACGGAGGGAGGUGGAGGCAGAUCUGCCUUCCCCGUCGGGGCUCCUUCCUUGACAAGAAACGAGUUGAGGUGCUGGGCUUGUUGAUUGAAAGCUCAGUGGCCUCUCAAUUUAGUGAUCUUUUUCCUGUACCAAAGCUAGUCUUUUUUCCUGAUACAUGAAAACCUCAAGGCUCCUUCUCUCCUUUCCGCCUCUUUCAGAGUCCCCCCCCCCCAUAGAUUCCAUCCUCCUAAAUUCUUUGGGUCAUAUACUAUGCUGUCCUGUGACCAUGCCUCCUGCUAGUGUGUCCCAGCUUCUAGCAUUGGCAAAGAUUUUCUAGAAAGAUUGUGAAGAUGCAGAUCCCCUGGUCUGAGCAUCAGCCUUCAGACGUUCUGGAUCAGGAAUCUGAAGUUUUAAUAGGAGUCCUCUGUGAUUCUGAUGCAGGGGAGCCAGAAAUCUCACCUUAACAAUCUCUCCCUUACAAUCACCCACCUCCACUGGGGGGCAGUUUUCUGCUUGUGUAAUCGAGGUCUUUGGAAUUCCCACCCCAUCAAAUACUAGCUCACCUGAGCUUGGUCACUGAGCAUUUGUUAAAGCUGAUUUCACACCUGUCAAAUCUGAAUACCAGUUCCUAUAUUCUAAGGGGGUCAUGGAAGAUUAAAAACACAAUGUUCAGGGGCGCCUGGGUGGCACAGCGGUUAAGCGUCUGCCUUCUGCUUAGGGCGUGAUCCCGGCGUUAUGGGAUCGAGCCCCACAUCGGGCUCUUCCGCUGUGAGCCUGCUUCUUCCUCUCCCACUCCCCCUGCUUGUGUUCCCUCUCUCGCUGGCUGUCUCUAUCUCUGUCGAAUAAAUAAAUAAAAUCUUUAAAAAAAAAAAACAAUGUUCAGAGUAGUGAAGAGUAGUUCUGACCAUUGGUAGUUACAGAGAAUAGGGCAUAAAAUUUCCUUCUUUGGCGUAGGCAUGGUCUUAAAAAGUGGUCUGGGGAAGACCACAAAUCUCUCGAGGUUUAAAGAAAUUAAUGGCAAGAUAUUAAGCAAGAGGCUACGUAGAGAAAAGGGUAGGAUUUUGACUGAGAGGUUUGCACAGCCCCGUAGAUCCAGGGGGGUGAGCCACAAGUCUGACCCUAGCUAGGUGACCUUGGGCAAGUCACAUGGUCUGUCCGAAGCUCCACUACCCACCUGUAGGAUAGGGGAUGAUAACGGCCGUCCUCACCUGUCCUGCCAGACUGUGGUGCGGAUCAGAUGGAAUAUAUCUAAGCAUUUUGUGGAUUAUCAGCUUCUUCGGAAAUACACGUAAGCUGUUUCCACACCAAAAAUGCAGGUGCCUAAUCCACUGGAUAGUUCUCUCAGGAUAGAAUAAAGAGACCAAUUAAAAAGCAGAUUUUCAGGAAAAACACUGACCAAAAAUAGAGCCGGAGUUGGAUCGGUGCCUCAUGUGGUCAAGAAAAGUAUUCGAUUACUGUCCCUUUAUUUGCCCAUUUCUGGGAGUUGGGGUGUUGCUGUAUCAUGUGAGUAAGGCUUUGAAAUUCCUGUUCUAAUCUUUAGUAGCAACGACACAACCUAUAAUCUCUUCUGUUUUUCCUUU
ensembl:lncRNA